GAGUUUGAUCGUGGCUCAGAGCGAACGCUGGCGGCAGGCUUAACACAUGCAAGUCGAGCGGGCGUAGCAAUACGUCAGCGGCAGACGGGUGAGUAACACGUGGGAACGUACCUUUUGGUUCGGAACAACUGAGGGAAACUUCAGCUAAUACCGGAUAAGCCCUAACGGGGAAAGAUUUAUCGCCGAAAGAUCGGCCCGCGUCUGAUUAGCUAGUUGGUGAGGUAAUGGCUCACCAAGGCGACGAUCAGUAGCUGGUCUGAGAGGAUGAUCAGCCACACUGGGACUGAGACACGGCCCAGACUCCUACGGGAGGCAGCAGUGGGGAAUAUUGGACAAUGGGGGCAACCCUGAUCCAGCCAUGCCGCGUGAGUGAUGAAGGCCCUAGGGUUGUAAAGCUCUUUUGUGCGGGAAGAUAAUGACGGUACCGCAAGAAUAAGCCCCGACUAACUUCGUGCCAGCAGCCGCCGCCGU
rnacentral:rRNA from 1 species